CUGGCCUGAAUGCCGGCGGAGGGAAGUUCUACCGAAGUUACAACUUCCCAACCCAAUGUGAACGUUACCAAACUGUUGCCUCGGCGGGGUCACGCCCCGGGUGCGUCGCAGCCCCGGAACCAGGCGCCCGCCGGAGGAACCAACCAAACUCUUUCUGUAGUCCCCUCGCGGACGUAUUUCUUUACAGCUCUGAGCAAAAAUUCAAAAUGAAUCAAAACUUUCAACAACGGAUCUCUUGGUUCUGGCAUCGAUGAAGAACGCAGCGAAAUGCGAUAAGUAAUGUGAAUUGCAGAAUUCAGUGAAUCAUCGAAUCUUUGAACGCACAUUGCGCCCGCCAGUAUUCUGGCGGGCAUGCCUGUCCGAGCGUCAUUUCAACCCUCGAACCCCUCCGGGGGAUCGGCGUUGGGGAUCGGGACCCCUCACACGGGUGCCGGCCCCUAAAUACAGUGGCGGUCUCGCCGCAGCCUCUCCUGCGCAGUAGUUUGCACAACUCGCACCGGGAGCGCGGCGCGUCCACGUCCGUAAAACACCCAACUUUCUGAAAUGUUGACCUCGGAUCAGGUAGGAAUACCCGCUGAACUUAAGCAUAUCAAUAAGGC
rnacentral:rRNA from 1 species